GUACCAAAAGGAAAGGUUUGCCGUAAACUCGCCGCAACUUUGCCGCAAAUUCGCUGCAAACCUUUUAGUUCGCCGAAACACUGUGUCAAGAGUUUGCCAGAUAUCGCCACUAGUGGCAACUCUGUAGCAAACAUUUGGCGACUUUGCGGCAAAUUCACCAGAAUAUUUAGUAGUUCGCCAAAAGUUUGCCAGAAACUUUCAGUGGAAAACUAAUUUGCCAGAGAUUGCCAGAAUCUUUCUAUGAAAAAAAAUAUUCACUGAAAGUUCACCAGAAACUUUUCUAUAAAAACAAGUUUGCCAGAUAAUCGCCACAAACACAUCAGUUCUGAAAGUUAAUCAUCUUUGUUCAGUAAAUAACUAUUUUGCCAAGGAAUUAUAUUAUUAUGCACAUAUAAAAAAAGUCCUUCAUGUACCUACCUAUAUAUUACCUACCUACCUACCUACCUACCCAACCCUAUUUUAAUGGGUCGGGAAGUGGAAACAAACAUAUUUUUAUAUUUUUUGCCUAAGAGUUAUCAAAUUGAAACAUCAUAUGUAUCAUGGAGGGUAUUGUAGUUCACAAUAACAGUUUAAAAAAUUAUAAGGUAGAAGACCCAUAAUGAAAUCGGCAAUCUUCGACAAUUACCGCCAUAUCUCGCGAUUUAUCGUAACGAACUUCGUUUGUUUACGUAUAAAGUCGGAAUUCUAAUAAUAGCGGAUAUCCCCGGUCACGUGGUAGUAUUCCCCAAGAAAAUGACGUAAUUUCCAUAGAUAUCUAACAUGGCGUCUUACAGGCGUGAUACGCUCGGUCGAUUCAAAAAAGUGUAAAAAGAUGCAGAAAACCCAAGUAUUGCGACUUAAUUAUAGAACAUAACUAUCGUGCAGGUAACCAGUAUUACGGGUCAACCAAACCAGCUCUACAAAACAUCAACUCUUCCUAAAUCGGUUGAUAAUGAGGGUUGGAAAAAGGGAAGAAGAAUCGUUGAGACUUGAGUUUGGCGUGUUACGGUCAACCCUAAGAUUUUGUAAAAAAUGUAGACUUGGACUAGUAGGCUACCAUUAACUUUUGACAACAUGUUAGGUGAAUUUAAACAGGGUGUGUCUGGAUAUUUGUAUGUGAAAUGUCGAAACACAGAAAUUAUGCGGUCAUGUGAAUUGUGUUCCCUAUGGAAAAACACAGACUCUUGUAGUAGUAGAUUGAAGACCUGGGAAAGUUGGAAUGCCAUGUUUCGUUGUCAACACAAAAUUAGGACCAGCAAUGAUUGAUAGUGUAGGUGGGCCGGUGAGGGGAGGGUCAACAAUUUGUUGUCAACACUCAAUAUACCAACAAUUGGAAAUAAAAACAUGAAAAGAAAUGGAGAGACGUGUUGGAAAUAUCAUUGAGACAGUGGCUUCUAUCUGUCUAUGUUGACAGAAUCUGCUGCGAAAGAUCAAGGAAAUUGAGGAUGUGCAUCAUGAAGAAUCAAUGGUAUCAGAACACAACAUCAUGGAAGAUCUUAUUGACAAGAUCUUGGAGGAUGUCCUUUGCCAGAUGCCUCGCCAGCACUAAAGUCUAUUCUUCAGUCAGAUU